CUAUGUUGUAGAGAGACUGUAACAUCCCUGUCUAUCCUCUAUGUUGUAGAGAGGCUGUAACAUCCCUGUCUAUCCUCUGUUGUAGAGAGACUGUAACAUCCCUGUCUAUCCUCUGUUGUAGAGAGACUAACAUCCCUGUCUAUCCUCUGUUGUAGAGAGACUAACAUCCCUGUCUAUCCUCUAUGUUGUAGAGAGACUGUAACAUCCCUGUCUAUCCUCUAUGUUGUAGAGAGACUGUAACAUCCCUGUCUAUCCUCUAUGUUGUAGAGAGACUGUAACAUCCCUGUCUAUCCUCUAUGUUGUAGAGAGGCUGAUACAUCCCUG
rnacentral:lncRNA from 1 species